GGAAGGAGCUAUGGCUCAGUGGUAGAACAGGUGCUUCACAUGUAGAAGGUUCCAGGUUCAUUCCCUGGUCUCUCCA
rnacentral:tRNA from 1 species